UACGUAGGGUGCGAGCGUUGUCCGGAAUUAUUGGGCGUAAAGAGCUCGUAGGCGGCCUGUCGCGUCGGAUGUGAAAGUCCGGGGCUCAACUCCGGAUCUGCGGUGGGUACGGGCAGACUAGAGUGAUGUAGGGGAGACUGGAAUUCCUGGUGUAGCGGUGAAAUGCGCAGAUAUCAGGAGGAACACCGAUGGCGAAGGCAGGUCUCUGGGCAUUAACUGACGCUGAGGAGCGAAAGCGUGGGGAGCGAACAGG
rnacentral:rRNA from 1 species